ACCUUUAAAAUAACAGAACAUUUAUUCUAGAAGAUAAAUUUCUUAUGCUAUGAUACAUACCAAUGCUCUAGCAUAAUAUUUUCAUUCUGUGAUACCUUUAUUGGACCAACUAAAAAAAAUUCAAAAUAUUUUGUGCAACCUUUUGAAACUGAAUUUCUCAAGAAGCAUUUGUUCUCUUACUUCUGGAAAACCGUUUAGACACUGUAUAGAUCAAACAUGCUGACUGUAGUCCAAACGAAAGAGAUUUAUCUUUGUGGAAGGUACAAACCUCAGUAAGUAAAUGUAACUGAGGUUUCUACCUCCAACAAAACUUAUUUCCAAAUAAACAUUUAUAGGAUUUCCACUGCAUGUUUCUUUCAGAUUAAACCAGUAAUUCUGAUUGAUAUAUAGAAAAAUCUCCCUCCCUCCCACUCUAGAUCUGUUUUAAAAGGGAACUUUUCAAUGUGGCAUGAUGAAAUUAUCUAGACAUUUAUUUACAAACAUGCCCUUUGUUUCCAGUAUUAGGAGAAAAUAUCAGCAUGUCACAAGUUCAUAAACCAUAUGUACUGGGCAAUGAAAGACAGUUCUACUCCUUGUCAAAUUUUCUGGAUAGAACAAAUCUUUAGAAAACUGCUUUACAUUCUCAAAGUUGGAGCCAAUUUUUAUGUCUUGUAAAAACAUUAUUUUCAUAUUUGUAUUCUUAUGUUUGGAUGUUUAUAUUCUGUUCUUGAGAAACUGUGAAAAUUUAAACCUUAUAUUCUGUGAGUUUAAGUAAGCAUAAUUUCAAAAUACUAGUCUUGUGAUAAAUGUUCUCAAAUGUGUUUAUUUCUAUUUCUUCCAUAUAACAACAACAGCAACAACAACAACUACUACUACUACUACUACAACUUUAUUUGUAUCCUGCCCUAUCUCCCCAAAGGGGACUCAGGGUGGUUGCAUGGAAACCUAGAAGAAACAGAUAAAUAAGAACAAAACAAAAUGGAAAACAAUUCCACAACUGCUCAAAAUACUUCUUUCAAUUCCAUCUUUAAGCAGAAAGACGGCAGCAGUGCAGUGAAUGUAUUAUGGAGCAGUCCUGAAGCUACCCUGUUUCCCCUAAAAUAAGACAUCUCCAGAAAAUAAGACCUAGUAGAAGUUUUGCUGAAUUGCUAAAUAUAAGGCCUCCCCUGAAAGUAAGACCUAGUAAAGUUUUGUUUGGAAGCAUGCUCAUCGAACAGAACACCAGAGCAUGCAGGACUGGGAAAUGUAUGUACCAUAGAGUGUUGUACAUGGAAAUAAAGGUAGUAACAAGAAA